AUUGAACGCUGGCGGCAUGCUUUACACAUGCAAGUCGAACGGCAGCGCGGGCUUCGGCCUGGCGGCGAGUGGCGAACGGGUGAGUAAUACAUCGGAACGUGCCCAGUAGUGGGGGAUAGCUCGGCGAAAGCCGGAUUAAUACCGCAUACGACCUGAGGGUGAAAGCGGGGGAUCUUCGGACCUCGCGCUAUUGGAGCGGCCGAUGGCAGAUUAGCUAGUUGGUGGGGUAAAGGCCUACCAAGGCGACGAUCUGUAGCUGGUCUGAGAGGACGACCAGCCACACUGGGACUGAGACACGGCCCAGACUCCUACGGGAGGCAGCAGUGGGGAAUUUUGGACAAUGGGCGAAAGCCUGAUCCAGCAAUGCCGCGUGUGUGAUGAAGGCCUUCGGGUUGUAAAGCACUUUUGGCGGGAACGAAAAGGACUGUGCCAAUACCACAGUUCGAUGACGGUACCCGGAGAAUAAGCACCGGCUAACUACGUG
rnacentral:rRNA from 1 species